rnacentral:rRNA from 1 species
UACAGAGGCGGCAAGCGUUGUUCGGAUUUACUGGGCGUAAAGGGCGCGUAGGCGGCAAUUCAAGUCAGCUGUGAAAUCUCCGGGCUUAACUCGGAACGGUCAGCUGAUACUGCUUUGCUAGAGUGCAGAAGGGGCAAUCGGAAUUCUUGGUGUAGCGGUGAAAUGCGUAGAUAUCAAGAGGAACACCUGAGGUGAAGACGGGUUGCUGGGCUGACACUGACGCUGAGGCGCGAAAGCUAGGGUAGCAAACGGG